GAUGAACGCUAGCGGCAGGCUUAAUACAUGCAAGUCGUGGGGCAGCAUGAGUAGCAAUACUUGGUGGCGACCGGCAAACGGGUGCGGAACACGUACACAACCUUCCGAUAAGUGGGGAAUAGCCCAGAGAAAUUUGGAUUAAUACCCCGUAACAUAUAGAGUAGGCAUCUUCUGUAUAUUAUAGCUUCGGCGCUUAUUGCUGGGUGUGCGUCUGAUUAGGUAGUUGGCGGGGUAACGGCCCACCAAGCCUACGAUCAGUAGCUGAUGUGAGGGCAUUAUCAGCAACACGGGAACGGAGCCACGGGCCCGACUCCUACGUGAGGCAUUACUAAGGAAUAUUGGACAAUGUGCGAGAACCUGAUCCAGCCAUGCAGCGUGAAGGAAUAAGGUCCUCUGGAUUGGUAACUUCUUUUAUUUGGGACGAAAAAAGGGAAUUCUUUCCCACUUGACGGUACCAAGUGAAUGAGCACCGGCUAACUCCGUGCCAGCAGCCGCCGUAA
rnacentral:rRNA from 1 species